rnacentral:lncRNA from 1 species
UCAAAUUAUAGAGAUGACAUAGUUCUAUGUAACCCUGCUACCAAAGAAUCCACGGUUCUCCCGAAAUCCUGUCUCCCCUGUUUUUCAUCGAACCCAAAUUUGAUUCCCCGAACGAAUGCCCUGGGAUUUGGUUAUGACCUGAAAAAUCAACAAUACAAGGUGGUUAGGAUUGUGUCAUAUUUGGAGGAGUUUGGUGACCACAGCUUACCCCAACUUUCCAUGGUGGAGGUAUACACCAUGGGAACUGAUUCCUGGAGAGAAGUCAAGAAUGUCAAGGUCUCUGCCAAUGUCCAAUACUGUCCAAUUCCAUGUUUUGACACCUACUUCAAUGGAGCAUUUCAUUGGCAUGCUAUGGACUACAACAAUAAUGAAGUCAUCCUUUCAUUCGACAUGGGAGAAGAGGAGUUCCAAAACAUAUCAAUGCCAGAUUUUCUUUCCGUUUAUGAUCAUUCCAUCUGCAGGAGUCUCCUGGUGUGGAAUGGUUGCCUUGCUUUGAUAGUCUAUCCAGGAAAAGGAAUUGAAAAAUCAUUUCAGAUAUGUGUGAUGGAAAAUUAUGGGAUGAAGGAAUCUUGGACUAAAAAAUUAACUAUUGGACCUCUUGCAGGAGUUGAACGGCCAUUGAUAUUUUGGCAAAAUGAUGAAGAGAUUGUGAUGGAAGGAACUGAUGGACAGGCAGUGUCC